UGGGGAAUUUUGGACAAUGGGCGAAAGCCUGAUCCAGCAAUGCCGCGUGUGUGAAGAAGGCCUUCGGGUUGUAAAGCACUUUUGUCCGGAAAGAAAUGGCUCUGGUUAAUACCUGGGGUCGAUGACGGUACCGGAAGAAUAAGGACCGGCUAACUACGUGCCAGCAGCCGCGGUAAUACGUAGGGUCCAAGCGUUAAUCGGAAUUACUGGGCGUAAAGCGUGCGCAGGCGGUUGUGCAAGACCGAUGUGAAAUCCCCGAGCUUAACUUGGGAAUUGCAUUGGUGACUGCACGGCUAGAGUGUGUCAGAGGGGGGUAGAAUUCCACGUGUAGCAGUGAAAUGCGUAGAGAUGUGGAGGAAUACCGAUGGCGAAGGCAGCCCCCUGGGAUAACACUGACGCUCAUGCACGAAAGCGUGGGGUGCAAACAGGAUUAGAUACCCUGGUAGUCCACGCCCUAAACGAUGUCAACUAGUUGUUGGGGAUUCAUUUCCUUAGUAACGUAGCUAACGCGUGAAGUUGGACCGCCUGGGGAGUACGGUCGCAAG
rnacentral:rRNA from 1 species